GCAUGGGCGAAGCCUGACGCAGCGACGCCGCGUGAGGGAUGAAGGUUCUCGGAUCGUAAACCUCUGUCAGGGGGGAAGAAACCCCCUCGUGUGAAUAAUGCGAGGGCUUGACGGUACCCCCAAAGGAAGCACCGGCUAACUCCGUGCCAGCAGCCGCGGUAAUACGGAGGGUGCAAGCGUUAAUCGGAAUCACUGGGCGUAAAGCGCACGUAGGCGGCUUGGUAAGUCAGGGGUGAAAUCCCACAGCCCAACUGUGGAACUGCCUUUGAUACUGCCAGGCUUGAGUACCGGAGAGGGUGGCGGAAUUCCAGGUGUAGGAGUGAAAUCCGUAGAUAUCUGGAGGAACACCGGUGGCGAAGGCGGCCACCUGGACGGUAACUGACGCUGAGGUGCGAAAGCGUGGGUAGCAAACAGGAUUAGAUACCCUGGUAGUCCAAGGGCGAAUUC
rnacentral:rRNA from 1 species